ACCUUCGGGCCUCUUGCCAUCGGAUGUGCCCAGAUGGGAUUAGCUAGUAGGUGGGGUAACGGCUCACCUAGGCGACGAUCCCUAGCUGGUCUGAGAGGAUGACCAGCCACACUGGAACUGAGACACGGUCCAGACUCCUACGGGAGGCAGCAGUGGGGAAUAUUGCACAAUGGGCGCAAGCCUGAUGCAGCCAUGCCGCGUGUAUGAAGAAGGCCUUCGGGUUGUAAAGUACUUUCAGCGGGGAGGAAGGGAGUAAAGUUAAUACCUUUGCUCAUUGACGUUACCCGCAGAAGAAGCACCGGCUAACUCCGUGCCAGCAGCCGCGGUAAUACGGAGGGUGCAAGCGUUAAUCGGAAUUACUGGGCGUAAAGCGCACGCAGGCGGUUUGUUAAGUCAGAUGUGAAAUCCCCGGGCUCAACCUGGGAACUGCAUCUGAUACUGGCAAGC
rnacentral:rRNA from 1 species